AUGCAGGGGAAUCUCCUCCUUCAUCCAGCAACAGUGGGAUGCGUGAAGUUUGGGCCAGGUCCUCACGUAGCAUUUUGCAUCUGUAAAACCACUUGGAUUGGCAGUCUAUCAAUGAUGACAGUCUUUCUGAAUCAUUACAUUUCUACGGCCUGGCGGUUACUGACAACUCCUUGCUUUGUAUCCAUGGAUAGAAUGGAUAGAAUGGACUGGUGAGAAUGAUCUAAGAAGUAAGAGUGGAG
rnacentral:lncRNA from 1 species